rnacentral:tRNA from 1 species
UCGGAUAUGGUGUAACGGCCAACAUUGCCGCCUCUCAUAGUCAGUGCGCGGCAGCUCGGGGUUCGAUUCCCCGUAUCCGAA